rnacentral:rRNA from 1 species
UGGUCAAGUUAUUAAGGGUGCAGGGCGGAUGCCUUGGCACUAGGAGCCGAUGAAGGACGUGAUAAGCUGCGAUAAGCGUCGGGGAGUUGCACGUAAACUUUGAUCCGAAGAUUUCCGAAUGAGGAAACUCACUUAGAGUAAUGUCUAAGUAUCAUUAAGUGAAUACAUAGCUUAAUGAGGGGAACUCAGGGAACUGAAACAUCUAAGUACCUGAAGGAAGAGAAAGAAAUUCGAUUCCGUAAGUAGCGGCGAGCGAACGCGGAUUAGCCCAAACCAAUAAAGUUUUCUUUAUUGGGGUUGCGGACAUAUCAUAACGAAGAGGUAUCGUAAUUGAAGAGGUUUGGAAAGACCCACCACAGAAGGUAAUAGUCCUGUAUGUUAAACGAGAAGACUUUAGAUAUGAUCCAGAGUACCACGGGACACGUGAAACCCUGUGGGAAGCAGGAGGGACCACCCUCCAAGGCUAAAUACUACCUAGUGACCGAUAGCGUAUAGUA